GACGAACGCUGGCGGCGUGCUUAACACAUGCCAGUCGUACGGUAAGGCCCUUUCGGGGGUACACGAGUGGCGAACGGGUGAGUAACACGUGAGUAACCUGCCCACAACUUUGGGAUAACGCUAGGAAACUGGUGCUAAUACUGGAUAUGUGCUCCUGCUGCAUGGUGGGGGUUGGAAAGCUCCGGCGGUUGUGGAUGGACUCGCGGCCUAUCAGCUUGUUGGUGGGGUAGUGGCCUACCAAGGCGGCGACGGGUAGCCGGCCUGAGAGGGUGACCGGCCACAUUGGGACCGAGAUACGGCCCAGACUCCUACGGGAGGCAGCAGUGGGGAAUAUUGCACAAUGGGCGCAAGCCUGAUGCAGCAACGCCGCGUGCGGGAUGACGGCCUUCGGGUUGUAAACCGCUUUCAGCAGGGACGAAGCUUUUUGUGACGGUACCUGCAGAAGAAGCACCGGCUAACUACGUG
rnacentral:rRNA from 1 species